GUAGGAGUGAGCCUGCUCGCGAUGGCGUCUUCGCCUUCAAGAUUACGGUGACUGACACACCGCUAUCGCGAGCAGGCUCACUCCUGC
rnacentral:misc_RNA from 1 species